GGGGGCGAAAUAGGAUCGACAAGGGCGUAAAGAUUGCUCUUUUACUCGGCAUAGUACCACCGUUAUCGGACUAAAUGAGUAGUUGCAAAUGACAACUAUGCGGAAGCACGUCUCGCUGCUUAAUGCAGUGCGAAUGUUUCAAUUUAAGUCUUAAACCGUCGCAGGUCUAAGCGGGGUUCGGAGGCACCUGGCAACAGAAGCCUUCAUU
rnacentral:tmRNA from 1 species